CCUACGGGUGGCAGCAGUGAGGAAUAUUGGUCAAUGGCCGGAAGGCUGAACCAGCCAUGCCGCGUGAAGGUCAGUGCCCUAUGGGCGUUAAACUUCUUUUGUGCGGGAGCAAUAAUGGUCACGUGUGGCCAGACGAGAGUACCGUACGAAUAAGCAUCGGCUAACUCCGUGCCAGCAGCCGCGGUAAUACGGGGGAUGCAAGCGUUAUCCGGAUUUAUUGGGUUUUAAGGGUGCGUAGGCUGUGAGGUAAGUCAGCGGUGAAAUGCCCCCGCGCAACGGGGUGAAGAGCCAUUGAUACUGCCUGGCUGGAAUGCGGAUGCCGUGGGAGGAAUGUGUGGUGUAGCGGUGAAAUGCAUAGAUAUCACACAGAACACCGAUUGCGAAGGCAUCUCACGAAUCCGCGAUUGACGCUGAUGCACGAAAGCGUGGGUAUCAAACAGGAUUAGAUACCCGUGUAGUC
rnacentral:rRNA from 1 species